GCGACUAUGCAGGGGUUGAAAGGCUUCCAUGUAAAGUGUGCUCAACAAGUCGGCGCCCACGAGUGUGGCUAUUACGUUAUGAAGUUCAUGCAUGAAAUAGUCACGUUACACCAUAACACUGAUGAGCGGUUAGACAAUGCUUACACUCCAAGAAAUGCGCCUUAUACCGAUGAGGAAAUAGAUGUGGUUCGUGAGCAAUGGGCUAAGUUUUUUACAACCGAGUAUUUAUUUACUUAGGUUGUUUAGACACAAAGAUGGAAGCGUUUAUAUCUUCAUGGAUUUGGCUAGGGAUCGAGUCGAUUGGAAGAAAGUCAACACGACCUUACUUAAGGUUUGUAAUGCAUGAUCUAAAGGGACCUAAGUGGCUGGAUUAGAGACAUUUGUUAGAUUAGCUCUCUAGCCUUUUGUCUUUAGUUGUUAAUAUUAGUUGUAAUUUGUUAGACUAGCUAGGUGUUUAAAAAUUGUAAACAUACGUACUAUAUAUACGCUUUGCUCUGUUGGGUUAAUAUAAAUGAAGUUAAUGUAAUGAUUUAUUUAUCAAAGAUAAGCAGAUUCAUACCUUUGCUAUUUUGGUGUUGAUUGGGUACAGGUUUCAAUACUCAAUGGAGUAUAUAUCUAGUUGUGGUUAUUGCCGCCUAUUUUAUAUUUUAAAAGAAUUUGGAAAAAAAAAAAUUAAUGUUGUUGAAGGGGGC